CCUCCAAAAAUCAUGAAUGAGUAACCCUUCUUCUCUCCUCUCUUCCUCCUCCGCCACCUACAUUGAAGACAAACAGGAAGAACAUGAUUUUUGAAAAAUCAAGAAAUGAGAAAUGCAGCUCAACCCACCAUACACUUCGCCCGCAACAAUUCCCCCCACAUAGUAGAUGUCCGGGCCUUAGCCAACCGCUAUGCCGCCGCGCUCCAACAAUGCUUCCCGCCGAGCCCCGCCUCUUCCCCCCUUGCUCGGACCAUCCAUGCCCACAUGGUAACCUCUGGGUUCAACCCACGAGGCCAUAUUAUUGAUCGCCUGAUUGAUAUCUACUGUAAAUGUAACUAUCUUGUGUAUGCACACCAUGUGUUCGACAGAAUUCCUCAACCAGAUAUUGUAGCUAGGACAACUAUAGUCUCUGCAUACUGCAAUUUGGGGAACAUGAAGGAGGCAAGAAGGAUUUUUGAUGAGAUCCCGCUUCGUAUUCGUGACGUUGUCUGUUAUAAUGCUGUGAUCACUGGGUAUAACCAUAACAAUGACGGUGUUUCUGCAAUUCGAUUGUUUGGGGAUAUGUUGAGGGAUGGUGUUAGGCCUGAUCAUUUUACUUUUAGUAGUGUUCUUAGUUCUUUAAGUUUGAUAGCAGAUGAUGCAAGGCAGUGUUAUCAGCUGCAUUGUGCCGUUGUGAAGUCUGGAUCAGGGUGCUCUACAUCGGUGUUGAAUGCACUUAUAUCACUCUAUGUGAAGUGUGCAUCUUCUCCCUUUGUGGAUUCUAGUUCUUUGUUGAGUGUAGCUCGUGAGCUCUUUGAUGCGAUGAAAGAGAAGGACGAGCUGACAUGGACUACAAUGAUUACAGGGUAUGCGAGGAAUGAUGACCUUGAUUCAGCGCGAGAAGCUUUUGAUUCAACGGGUGAGAAGGUUGUGGCUGUGUGGAAUGCAAUGAUCUCAGGUUAUGUGCACCAUGGUUUGUAUCCAGAGGCAUUGAACCUUUUUAGACGGAUGAAUGUUGAAGGAAUUCAGCAUGAUGAAUAUACAUAUACAAACGUUCUUGGAGCCUGUGCUGAUUCUCGUAUGUUUAGGCAUGGAAAAGAGAUACAUGCUCGGAUUUUGCGUAAGGUAGCAAACAUAAAACAAAGGGCUGAAGUCCAAUCUUCUAUAAACAAUGCACUGGUGACAUUGUACUCUAAAUGUGGAAGAAUUCGUGAAGCUAGGCAUAUUUUUGAGGAGAUGCAAGUAAGAGAUAUAGUUUCCUGGAAUGCAGUAUUGUCUGGUUAUGUGACUGCUGGCCAGAUUUUGGAAGCUAAAGAUUUCUUCAACAAAAUGCCGGAGAAGAACCUUCUGACUUGGGCUGUGAUGAUAGCAGCAUAUGCACAAAGUGGUUUAGGAGAAGAAGGCAUUAAGUUACUUAAUGAGAUGAGAAUGGAAGGAUGUCAGCCGUGUGAUUAUACAUUUGCCGGGGCAGUGACUGCCUGUUCGAAUCUUGGAGCACUAGAACAGGGAAGGCAGCUUCAUGGUCAAGUAAUUCGCUUUGGAUAUGAGUCGAGCCUUUCAGUGGCAAAUGCACUGAUAACAAUGUAUGGAAGAUGUGGUGUGGUUGAGGAUGCCGACUUAAUGUUUGCCACCAUGUCUUCUGUAGAUUCUGUUUCUUGGAAUGCCAUGAUUGCUGCUUUUGGGCAGCAUGGGAAUGGCGGUCAAGCCUUGGUACUCUUUGAGCAGAUGCUUAAAGCUGGAAUACUACCUGAUCGGAUUACAUAUCUCAUUAUUCUCACUGCAUGUACCCACUCUGGGUUGGUCCAUGAAGGGCAGCAUUAUUUUCAUUCCAUGCAUCAAUACCACAUUUCUGCUGGAGAAGACCAUUAUGCAAGGAUGAUUGACCUGUUUUGUCGAGCAGGAAAGUUCCACGAAGCUGAGGAAUUUAUCAGUAAAAUGCCUUUCGAGCCAAGAGCACCUAUCUGGGAAGCUCUGCUUUCUGGAUGCCGGAUUCAUGGGAACUUAGACCUUGGUAUAAAAGCUGCUGAAAAGCUCUUGGACUUAAUUCCACAACAUGAUGGUACCUAUAUACUGUUGUCAAAUAUGUAUGCUGCAGCUGGACAGUGGGUUGAUGUGGCAAGGGUUAGAAAGUUGAUGAGAGAGAGAGGGGUGAAAAAAGAGCCUGCUUGUAGUUGGAUAGAUGUCGAAAAUAAGGUUAAUGUAUUCUUGGUAGAUGAUACUUCACACCCAGAUGUACAAGAAGUGUACGACUAUCUUGAGCAAUUGGGACCAAAAUUAAGGGAACUGGGAUAUGUUCCUGAUACUAAGUAUGUGUUACAUGAUAUGGAGUCAGAACAGAAGGAGCACAGUUUGUCUACUCACAGUGAGAAACUCGCAGUUGCUUAUGGGCUCUUGAAGCUUCCUGCUGGAGCCACAGUUAGGGUGUUUAAGAACCUCAGGAUAUGUGGGGACUGCCACAAUGCGAUCAAGUACAUUUCCAAAAUAGUACAGAGAGUAAUUGUUGUGAGAGAUGUCAAGAGAUUUCAUCAUUUUAGGAACGGUGAAUGCUCUUGUGGUGAUUACUGGUAAACUGGUUUUUGUGAGAUUCAGUAAUAACAGCAAGAAUGAGUGGAAGUUGAAUAUGGAGUCCAACCAAAGUGGGUUUUUUCUUUCGAACGUUGAAUUGUUGAUGUCAUGUGCCUGAAAAUACUCAGCAAAAUCAAGAAUAAAUUCCCCAUGGUGGUAAUGUUUAACACUCAUGUGGUGGUUUUCUACUAGAACUUUCUCAGUGUUAACUGGAUAAUUGGGCGCAUAUAAAAGAUUCUAAACAGGGAAUUCUUUUAAGGGUGCUGGAGAAAGUGCUUAGGGCCCUAUAAGUGGUGAUUUUUGGUAAACUAAUUUUUGUGAGCUCCAAUGAUAACUGUAAAAACGAAUGAAAUUGAAUAUGGACUUCUACUAAAGCAAGGUUUCUUGGGAGAGUAGAAUUGUUGAUGUAGUCUACCUGGAAAUGCUCGGCAAAAUCAGGAAGAAAUUCCACAUGGUGGUAACAUGCAAGAAUUCUAUGUGGUGGAUUUCUGUUAGAACUCUCAGUGUUACUUGAAUAAUAUGCGUAUAUCAAAGCUUCCAAACAUUGGGAUAUAUUUUAAGAUUAGUGGAGAAAAAGUACUUAAGGGGCUACCAGUGGGUUGCUAUUCCGUUGCUCUUACUGACAACUUGGUUACAGUUCAAUGUAGCUCGGUCCUGGCCACACAAAGGUUCUAUGAAGGUAAAUCUGCUUCUGUCCACCUCCACAACACAGUCUUGCACCACUUGCUUGUGACGCAAGUUCAUAACUAGGUAUGGAUGUUUCAAUUGACACCUGAUCAGUUUGUUGCUGAUGUUAUUGGAUUUUUUUCAAAUACAACUUCAUGGCCAUUGUGCUACACCAAAAUACAGGUUACUUUAUUCCAUUGUCAUAUAAGAGGAUCUGAAUCCGAUUAAGGAACUUUCAGGUUAUUGGUUAUUUUAUAAAAAUAAAACAAUUGCACCAUGAGAAAUUUUUUCUCCAUUGUAGUUCUUUUCAAAGGCAUAUCUCAAAAUUUUCAGUGUAUUGUAUUGUAUUGUCCACUUCAAAAAAGUUUCUUAACAACUCUGAAGCUGUAUGUCUAAUGUCUUUCAGAGAUCUUGCUGGUCUUAAAAUUUUGUUGUGCAGUUGUCUUGGUAGUUAGGGAUCAUAGUGAAUAGUUUUUCUGUCAUUUCACAUAUCAAGAGACUUUAGCAGCUGUAUCAGUUAAUUAUGGAUCUUCAGUAUAACAUAAUAUAACACAUUGGAAUGCCAAUGCCUGGCAUUAUGAAAUGAUGAUUUUUUUCGUCUUGGUGAAUCUCAUGAUAGCACGAGCUUCAAGUUUAAAUUGAAGAUUUUGCUGAGUGCUAGCAGUGUCUCUGGCUCAACUAAUCCAUUUUCUCUGUUGUUAUACUUCGUAUAUGAGUUAAAAUAUUUGUUGUUUUGAAGUAUUACAUCAUCAUUAAUGUUUAUAGUCCCUGUAGAGGUUCCUGCUCAAGACUCUGUAAGUAGUAUACGGGCUGACACUAUGAUAACGUAGGUUUUUUUUUUCUCAUUAGAUCAUUGAACUGAGGUGCGACAACCUUCUAAAAAUUUGACAAUUUGGAUAAGAACCAUGGAUAGUUAUAUGAGCUGAUAUUGAUUUGGUCGGAGAAGUUUUGAAAAGCUGUACAAGAAUGUUUAAAUCUUAGAGGAUUCUAUCAGGAAUUUCAAUGGUGGUGAAAUGGGCACCGAGAUCUGCAAUUACUUCAUGUGGUUUGUAGUUAUAGAAAUAUUCAUUCACCUUGAGGAUUAAUGUUGUACAACUUGUCAACAAUUGCAAGUUCAUAAUUAUAAAAGGUUACUUUUCUGCUAUUCCAGUUUCCUGCAGGUCUUAUGAGUUGAUUCUCUAAUCUCUAUGUUUUACAUUAUACUUCAUUCAUACAUUGUUGUCAUGAUGAUGAGUGAGGAACUGAAAGUUCUAAGAGAGUUUUCAUUGGAAAAAGAGUAAAGACUCUAGUGAGGUUCUCGGAUAUAAAAUAAAUAGCAAUUUCUUUGGGCCAAGAGGUUAGAUAUUUUCGCUAUUUUACUUCUCACAAGGUGUUCAGCAGUAUUUGCUAGUUGACACUUUAUAACUUGUAUGCAGAAUUUUGCUUGGCGGACGGGGAAUCCAUGCCACAAGAGAUCUGGAGAUAGCAUUUCUGAAGAUAUCAUCUCAACAUGUCGAUAUCAAUCUCAAGAACUUCUGAUGGGAAAGUCAUGUGCUCAUGUCAAAAAAGACUGGAGAUUACAUUGCCGAGGAUAUCAUCUCGACAUGUCAAUCUUUCUGAAGGUGUAUUCCUAAACUUCCUAUAUAUCUCACAAUCAAAGAUCUUUUUUUGCCAGAAAACUGAAAUGUUUGGUAGCAGAAGAAACUUAUAGUAGUCUUAUUAGAUGGCAGGUCAAACUAAAUUCGUACUAUCUGAACUGGUAAUCAAUUAUAAUCAGUACGAUCUGAACUGGUAUAGAAUGUUUUUUUUUGACAGAGCAGGAAUUUUUAGUAGUCACAGUAAAUUUCUUAUAAAAUGUCAUGGAGUGCCUAACCAAAAAGAUGACAGAAUCCUAUUCUGCCACUGGUACUAAAACAGUAGUACUGAGGCAAUUGAGGAAUUUUAAAGAGCAAGUAGUCUUCAUGUUAUGUGAUGCACAGCCUAAUAUAGAAUCUUGUACAGCUGUUGGAAAAUCCUGGAAAGAAUAUUUGGUAGAGCUCAUAGGGUGCCCUUCUUUCUCUCUCUCUCUCUGUUUCUUGAACAACAUAAUAUUCCGGUGGUACUGAGUAUGGUAUUUCUUUGCACACUUGCUAUUUUUGGUUUGCCCAAAUUGAUUGCACACUACAAAUGAAUUUUAAUUCUCCUUUUUUUCUCUUCAUCCCUACACUUUUCUCUUUGGGUUUUCUCCGUUUCCUCUAUUCUUUGUCUCCGUGCCAAAGCCCAAAGGCAAGUAUAGAAAACUAUAUGAGAUAAGAGGGAAUAUUAAUACUGAUUGACACUUGACAGUAUAGUUUGAUAAUGCAUGUGUAGAAUAUUAACUAACUAAAAUAUAUAUGUAUAUUGCUGAGAAGGAAUUUUUGAAUCACAUCUGCAUCUGCAGGUAUACCACUAGCUAUUUUAAAACCACAUCUUAGAAACACGUGGGUAAAGUAUAACGAUAUUGAUUUCAUAGUUGCUUUAACUCUUGUAACGAUUUGAUCUCCUCUGUCAUCUGAAAGGAUGAGUUAGGUCGUUCCUAUGCUGGAGUAUUUGUUUUCUUAUAUAAAAAAACAAGAUUCCAGAACUAAAUCUGACAUUAUGUUAGCUUGGUCCUCUGACUGCUUGCUAUACACCAUUGAUAUUGUUUACAUUUUGACUGGCCAGUGGCCACUAAGAAACUUGAUGAAAACUGUGCAACUUUAUGCACAUCUAUAAUUAUGGACCAUACAUUUUUAUCUACAUUAUCUGUUGCCUAACCAUGAUGAUACAGUAGAUUCCUUGCUCACUACCGGAAUUCCUUUCUAUAUAUAAGAGCUUUUAGUGUGGUCCUUUAGCAUCACAUUCUCUUGAUUGAUAAUACUGCAUUUGGUAGUUUUAAAGUGAAAAGAUGGGAAAUCCAUGGGGGAGGCUCCAGAAAGCACUGAAAUGGGUGGUGAAGCCAAAGAAAAAGCGUCUUAGUGAAGAAGAGCUGAGGAUGUUCUUCAAGGCUCAUGACAAGAAUGGUGACGGUCACCUUGGUAAGGAAGAGUUAAAGCAUGCAUUUCGUGCUCUUGGAGCUCGUCUUCCUGGUUACAGGGCUGGUCGCGCUAUUCAUUACUCAGAUAUAGAUAUGGAUGGAGCUAUCAAUCAGGAUGAGAUUGACCACCUUGUUUCUUAUGCUAUCCAAUAUGGUUAUACUUUGAAUUAGCCUUUUCUUUUGAGGUUAAUUACUGGUAAGCUGCAUUCUACAGUAUAAGAGGUUAUACUGUUAUAGGAAGGUUUUUAAUUUUUUAGUUUCGGAAAAUAAAAUAUAUUACUGUAUGAGAUUGGAAUGACACUUUUUUAUUUAAGUUAGUUUCUUCACUCCUUAAUGUAUUGGCAGUCAUGAAUUUUGAAUCAAAUUAUUCAUGUUUACCGUCUCAAGGAAGGAUACUAGUUCUUCCUUAUAUUAAUUGUUAGUUGGAUAUUGAAAGUGGUCAUUGUUUGUUUCCUCA